GACGAACGCUGGCGGCGUGCUUAACACAUGCAAGUCGAACGGAAAGGCCCUGCUUUUGUGGGGUGCUCGAGUGGCGAACGGGUGAGUAACACGUGAGUAACCUGCCCUUGACUGUGGGAUAACUUCAGGAAACUGGGGCUAAUACCGGAUAGGAGCUCCUGCUGCAUGGUGGGGGUUGGAAAGUUUCGGCGGUUGGGGAUGGACUCGCGGCUUAUCAGCUUGUUGGUGGGGUAGUGGCUUACCAAGGCUUUGACGGGUAGCCGGCCUGAGAGGGUGACCGGCGACAAUGGGACUGAGGGACGGCCCAGACUCCUACGGGAGGCAGCAGUGGGGAAUAUGGCACAAUGGGCGGAAGCCUGAGGCAGCAACGCCGCGUGCGUGAUGACGGCCUUCGGGUGGUAAACCGCUGUCGCCUGUGACGAAGCGGGAGUGACGGUAAUGGGUAAAGAAGCACCGGCUAACUACGUG
rnacentral:rRNA from 1 species